UAAUAUUAUUUUAAUAAAAAUUGUAUGAUUGAAAAGAAGAGAGAGAAAAAUGCAUUUUGAAAAAAAUGAAUAUCAAAUGGGGUCUAAGUUUGAAAAGUUCUCGUGCUUAUAGGUGGUUGGAAAAAGUGUCCACAAACUAACAAUAUGGCUAUAAAUUGACAAGUAGACCUGCUACACGCUAAGCAUUCUGAAUUGAUAAAUUCCUAUGAAAGCACUUUCAUAUAUUUUCGUGUCCAUAUUAAUACAUGAACUGAUGCUCAUGAAUACAGAUCAUAAGGCAGCUUUUCCAGUGGAGGCUGCAAGGUUGCAUACUGCUUUCCAAUGGAAAUUAAAAGAAGUUUUGCCAGGUGAUCCAUCGUCCAAGUUGGCCAUAAUCGGUAAGAGAAGUUUGUCGUCCUCGCCUCCUAGUCCACCUAGUCGAGUACUCCUGCAGCCACCCAGGAGGAAGUCUACACCACACCCGCCUCCGCCCAGAAGGAAGUCUGCACCACACCCGCCUCCACCAAUCCCUCCUCCAGGAAGUCAUCCUUAAAUUCUGAAAACGACAACUUUGCUGCCGCCACUGCUUUAAGCUGACGCAACGCCCAGAAUAAUAUUGAAAAUACUUUUAAAAAAUAAAACAUAGACGUGCUCAAAUGAUGUAUUUGACCCAUUCGAUUUAUUUUCUUGUGCACCUAAUAGAUCUCAAUAGGAAUGUACCAUAAACUCAAAAAAGUAGUUUAUGCUGGAGUUCGAGUCCAUAUGGUAUAAUUUUAUUGUAAUAAAAUGAUAAUUUUAUGAUAAAUAAAUUUUCCUUUUCAUUUAUUUAUUGUGAUUGCAUUUUAUUUAAUAUUGAGC
rnacentral:lncRNA from 1 species